rnacentral:lncRNA from 1 species
AUGCCCACACUUUUUGGGGAGGAGGCUGGACCCUGCGCGCCGCUCAUCCCGCCUGGCCCCUGGGGGUCCCAAACCCCGGAGCACGGCUGGGAGAGGAGCAGGGGUCCCUCUCCCCCAAACCGAGUCCCGUGGGGGCGAGAGGUACCCCCGGGAAAAAAACAACCCCCACAGAAAAGUUCAGGCGCCCCAAAGCUGCAAAGCCCCGAGUUCCCCUGCCGCCCCCCCGCCGUACCUGCGCGGGUGGGAGCGGGUCCGUGCGCGCAGAGCAGCGCGCACAGGAGCGCGCAGCGCAGCGCCCCGGGACCCGGCGGGGCCAUGGCCCGGCCCGGCUCGGCUCGGCCCGGCUCGGCACGGUCCCGGCGGGAGGUGUGUCCGCGGAUCUCCCGGGAGAUCGGAGCGGAGCAGAUGCGCGCCCGCGGGAGGCGGCCCCGGCGGCGGCGGGGGAGGGGGGGCGGCCCCGCCUCGUCCCGCCCCGCCCCGCCCCGGCGGGCCCGGCCCGGGCUGUGGGGGUCUCUCACGGGGGGUGUGCCCCCCACACACACCCACACACCCACACACCCACACACCCACACACCGGGCGUGGGAAACCCGGGGCUGCACGGGCUGCACACACGGCACACCUGCGCACACCUGUGCACACCUGUGUGCACCUGUACACACAUGUACACCCCUGUGCACACCUGUACACACCUGUGUGCACCUGUACAUACCUGUACACACCUGUACACACAUGUACACCCCUGUGCACCCCUGUGCACACCUGUACACACUACACCCCUGUGCACACCUGUACACACCUGUACACACCUGUACACACCUGUACACACCUGUACACACUGCACCCCUGUGCACACCUGUACACACUACACUCCUGUGCAUACCUGUACACACCUGUACACACUGCACCCCUGUACACACCUGUACACACCUGUACACACCUGUACACACCUGUACACACAUGUACACCCCUGUGCACACCUGUACACACCUGUACACACUGCACCCCAGUGCAUACCUGUACACACCUGUACACACUGCACCCCUGUGCACACCUGUACACACUACACUCCUGUGCAUACCUGUACACACCUGUACACACCUGUACACACUGCACCCCUGUGCACACCUGCACAUACUGCACACAAGUGA